CAUGGGCUUCAGCCCAAGGCUGAAUAAAAUGGAGUACGUGAGCCAAGAUGCACUGGGCUCUCCAACAGUGAGUCACAGCAGAGAGAAAAGUACAUUUCCGUCUUUGAUUCCAGGCUCAUACCCACAGUCACAGGAGCCACAUGGCACAGGCAAAAAGCCGCAAGAGGGAAGUCUGGUACCUUCGGGUCCAUUUUCUGUUUGGUAUAAACUCCAUUUGCUGCUGUGAAGAUGUCGUUCAAGAACACAAAAAUGUAGCCUUCCAAGUUGAAUGCAAGGUCAGAGCUGGCAGGGAGAACAGGAAGGGGAGGCCGUUAUAAAGACACUCUCACCGUG